ACGACGCUGGCGCGUGCCUAACACAUGCAAGUCAAGGAGAAUUCCCGACUUGUCGGGAUAGUAAACUGGCGAACGGGUGGGUAACACGUAGGUAAUCUACCUCGGGAUCGGGAUAACCUCGCGAAAUGGGGAUAAUACCGAAUAAAGUCUCGGUAUAAUUUGUCGAGAUGAAAGAUGGGGAUCUUCGGACCUAUUACCUGAGGAUGAGCCUGCGCCUGAUUAGCUAGUUGGUAGGGUAAAUGCCUACCAAGGCAACGAUCAGUAGCUGGUCUGAGAGGAUGAUCAGCCACAUUGGGACUGAGAUACGGCCCAGACUCCUACGGGAGGCAGCAGUGAGGAAUUUUGCGCAAUGGGCGAAAGCCUGACGCAGCAACGCCGCGUGACUGAUUAAGCUCUGAGGAGUGUAAAAGUCUGUCGUAGAGGAAGAAACUAUCCGAUAAGAAUAUUGUCGGAUACUGACGGUACUCUAUGAGAAAGCUCCGGCUAACUCCGUG
rnacentral:rRNA from 1 species